rnacentral:misc_RNA from 1 species
UCGGUUCUUCGCAAUUGUCGGUUUUUGUAAUCCCGCCCCAGCGCGGCUCGAGGUCAAACUCGAUAACCUUCGGUCCGACCACGCCGGUGGGACUUCUCCAUGGGCCGCAGAGUGGGCUUCACGUCCUUCUGCGGCGAAAGUGGAGCGUCCCCGAAAUGAGGUUGUUACCAAUGCCAUUAGUCUCAGAAUGUAAUAGCAGGCAGCGAUGCCAAUGCAACCAAUUA